AUACAGAGGUGGCAAGCGUUGUUCGGAAUUACUGGGCGUAAAGGGCGCGUAGGCGGCCUUGUCAGUCAGACGUGAAAUCCCCAGGCUUAACUUGGGAACUGCGUCUGAUACUACAAGGCUGGAGUUCGGGAGAGGGAUGUGGAAUUCCAGGUGUAGCGGUGAAAUGCGUAGAUAUCUGGAGGAACACCGGUGGCGAAGGCGGCAUCCUGGACCGAAACUGACGCUGAGGCGCGAAAGCCAGGGGAGCAAACG
rnacentral:rRNA from 1 species